rfam:Streptomyces sp. Mg1, complete genome.
CUUGAUGGAGCCGAGCAGCAGCGGCUGAUCGGCCGGGCGCUCCUGGCCAUAAGUGGCGAGCAGCGCCUGCGCCUC